CCGGAGGAAGGUGGGGAUGACGUCAAGUCAUCAUGGCCCUUAUGUCCAGGGCGACACACGUGCUACAAUGGCCGGCACAGCGGGAAGCGGAGGGGCGACCCUGAGCGGAUCCCUUGAAAGCCGGUCCCAGUUCGGAUUGCAGUCUGCAACUCGACUGCAUGAAGUUGGAAUCGCUAGUAAUCGCGGAUCAGCCAAGCCGCGGUGAAUACGUUCCCGGGCCUU
rnacentral:rRNA from 1 species